UUAUCUCUGGUGCACAACCCUGUUUGGAGUCUCCAAAUCCAGCAGACUCCGGAAGUGCUCCCGUGUUGCUCCUCCCAGAGGUGGAAGAUAAUCAAGAGUCAGCCUCGCUUGGGAGAGAUCUCAGAUGGAAGGCAUUUUCCCAACUGGAUAGAAGCAAACAGCUAGAAAGCAUCUUCAACCUGAUUUCUAAGUUUUGUGAUCGCAAAGAUGUACAUCUCCCCUUCUAUGACCAUAUUUUUGUGAUUAACACAAUUUCUUUUCUUUUUAUAGCCUUUGGGUCUCUAAGAUUAAAUUCUCUACAUGUCAAUAAAUUCUUUAUUCUCAUUAUUUCAGCCAAACCAUGCCACUUCCUGAGAUUAACUGUUGGAGUUCAGAUGAGGAUACAGCCCUAGGGAAGAAGGUAAAAUACAAGGGUAGUUAAGUGCAGGCUUUUGUGUAUCAUUGAAUCUUUUUCCAGUGGAUUGGUCCCCUAACGUUUCUCCUAACACAAGAUUGG
rnacentral:lncRNA from 1 species